AACGAACGCUGGCGGCAUGCCUAACACAUGCAAGUCGAACGAGACCUUCGGGUCUAGUGGCGCACGGGUGCGUAACGCGUGGGAACCUGCCCUUAGGUUCGGAAUAACUCCCCGAAAGGGGUGCUAAUACCGGAUAAUGUCUUCGGACCAAAGAUUUAUCGCCGUUGGAUGGGCCCGCGUUGGAUUAGCUAGUUGGUAGGGUAAAGGCCUACCAAGGCGACGAUCCAUAGCUGGUCUGAGAGGAUGAUCAGCCACACUGGGACUGAGACGCGGCCCAGACUCCUACGGGAGGCAGCAGUGGGGAAGCUUAGACAAGGGGGGCAACCAUGAUAUAGCCAUGCCGCGUGAGUGAUGAAGGCCUUAGGGUUGUAAAGCUCUUUCAGCUGGGAAGAUAAUGACGGUACCAGAAGAAGAAGCCCCGGCUAACUCCGUG
rnacentral:rRNA from 1 species